GACGAACGCUGGCGGCGUGCUUAACACAUGCAAGUCGAACGAAGUGGCGAACGGGUGAGUAACGCGUAAUCAACCUGCCCUUCAGAGGGGGACAACAGUUGGAAACGACUGCUAAUACCGCAUACUGAAGGAGGGGAUUGCGUCUGAGUAGCUAGUUGGAGGGGUAACGGCCAACUAAGGCGAUGAUCAGUAGCCGGUCUGGGAGGCUGAACGGCCACAUUGUGACUGAGACACGACCCAGACGCCUACGGGAGGCAGCAGUGGGGAGUCUGCCGCAAUGGACGAGAGUCUGACGGAGCAACGCCGCGUGAGUGAUGACGACCUUCGGGUGGUAAAGCUCUGUUAAUCGGGACGCGGUACCGGAAUAGAAAGCAACGGCUAACUACGUGCCAGCAGCCGCGGUAAUAC
rnacentral:rRNA from 1 species